UGUGCCCAGCCCGCGCGGUAAUACGUAGGGGGUCCAGGGUUGUCCGGGAAUUAUUGGGCGUAAAGAGCUCGUAGGCGGUUUGUCGCGUCUGCUGUGAAAGCCCGGGGCUCAACCCCGGGUCUGCAGUGGGUACGGGCAGACUAGAGUGCAGUAGGGGAGACUGGAAUUCCUGGUGUAGCGGUGAAAUGCGCAGAUAUCAGGAGGAACACCGAUGGCGAAGGCAGGUCUCUGGGCUGUUACUGACGCUGAGGAGCGAAAGCAUGGGGAGCGAACAGGAUUAGAUACCCUGGUAGUCCAUGCCGUAAACGUUGGGCACUAGGUGUGGGGGACAUUCCACGUUUUCCGCGCCGUAGCUAACGCAUUAAGUGCCCCGCCUGGGGAGUACGGCCGCAAGGCUAAAACUCAAAGGAAUUGACGGGGGCCCGCACAAGCGGCGGAGCAUGCGGAUUAAUUCGAUGCAACGCGAAGAACCUUACCAAGGCUUGACAUUCACCGGACCGCCCCAGAGAUGGGGUUUCCCUUCGGGGCUGGUGGACAGGUGGUGCAUGGUUGUCGUCAGCUCGUGUCGUGAGAUGUUGGGUUAAGUCCCGCAACGAGCGCAACCCUCGUUCUAUGUUGCCAGCACGUGAUGGUGGGGACUCAUAGGAGACUGCCGGGGUCAACUCGGAGGAAGGUGGGGAUGACGUCAAAUCAUCAUGCCCCUUAUGUCUUGGGCUUCACGCAUGCUACAAUGGCCGGUACAAAGGGUUGCGAUACUGUGAGGUGGAGCUAAUCCCAAAAAGCCGGUCUCAGUUCGGAUUGAGGUCUGCAACUCGACCUCAUGAAGUCGGAGUCGCUAGUAAUCGCAGAUCAGCAACGCUGCGGUGAAUCCGUUCCCGGGCCUUGCACACCCCCGCCCCGUC
rnacentral:rRNA from 1 species